rnacentral:rRNA from 1 species
GUACGGAUUAUUGGGCGUAAGCGCGCGCAGGUGGUUUCUUAAGUCUGAUGUGAAAGCCCACGGCUCAACCGUGGAGGGUCAUUGGAAACUGGGAGACUUGAGUGCAGAAGAGGAAAGUGGAAUUCCAUGUGUAGCGGUGAAAUGCGUAGAGAUAUGGAGGAACACCAGUGGCGAAGGCGACUUUCUGGUCUGUAACUGACACUGAGGCGCGAAAGCGUGGGGAGCAAACAGGAUUAGAUACCCCGGUAGUCCA